rnacentral:rRNA from 1 species
AUUGAACGCUGGCGGAAUGCUUUACACAUGCAAGUCGAACGGUAGAGGGGGCAACCCCUCGAGAGUGGCGAACGGGUGAGUAAUAUAUCGGAACGUGCCCAGUCGUGGGGGAUAACGUAGCGAAAGUUACGCUAAUACCGCAUACGAUCUAAGGAUGAAAGCGGGGGACUCGCAAGAGCCUCGCGCGAUUGGAGCGGCCGAUAUCAGAUUAGGUAGUUGGUGGGGUAAAGGCUCACCAAGCCAACGAUCUGUAGCUGGUCUGAGAGGACGAACAGCCACACUGGAACUGAGACACGGUCCAGACUCCUACGGGAGGCAGCAGUGGGGAAUUUUGGACAAUGGACGCAAGUCUGAUCCAGCCAUUCCGCGUGCAGGAUGAAGGCCCUCGGGUUGUAAACUGCUUUUGUACGGAACGAAAAGGUUUCUAUUAAUACUAGGAGCUCAUGACGGUACCGUAAGAAUAAGCACCGGCUAACUACGUGCCAGCCGCCGCGGUAAAAC